rnacentral:rRNA from 1 species
CCUGGUUGAUCCUGCCAGUAAUAUAUGCUUGUCUCAAAGAUUAAGCCAUGCAAGUCUAAGUGCACACGGCCCGGUACUGUGAAACUGCGAAUGGCUCAUUAAAUCAGUUAUUGGUUCCUUGAUCGCUCCACCGUUACUUGGAUAACUGUGGCAAUUCCAGAGCUAAUACAUGCCAACGAGCGCCGACCUGGGCCGCCCUUCUCCCCUCGGGGCGGGGGGUGGGUACCCGGGGACGCGUGCAUUUAUCAGAUCCAAAACCCAUGCGGGUGCGCGGGCGGUGGAGAGGGGGGCCUCGCGCCUACCCGCCGCCGUCCGCCCCCGGCCUCGCUUUGGUGACUCUAGAUAACCUCGGGCCGAUUCGCGCGCCCUCGCGGCGGCGACCGGUUCAUUCGAAUGUCUGCCCUAUCAACUUUCGAUGGUAGGUCCCUUCGCCUACCAUGGUGACCACGGGUGACGGAGAAUCAGGGUUUGACUCCGGAGAGGGAGCCUGAGAAACCGGCUACCACAUCCAAGGAAGGCAGCAGGCGCGCAAAUUACCCAUUUCCGACACGGAGAGGUAGUGACAAAAAAAACAAUGCAGGUCUCUUUCGAGGCCCUGCAAUUGGAAUGAGUGCAUCCCAAACCCAUGGGCCAAGGACCCAUUGGAGGGCAAGUCUGGUGCCAGCAGCCGCGGUAAUUCCAGCUCCAAUAGCGUAUAUUUAAGUUGUUGCAGUUAGUAAUUCCAGCUCCAAUAGCGUAUGCUAACGUUGCAGCAGUUAAAAAGCUCGUAGUUGGAUCUCGGGUCCGGGCCGCGCGGUCCGCCGCGAGGCGAGCCACCGCCGGUCCCGGACCCCCAGGCCUCCCGGCGCCCCCCGGGUGCCCUUGACUGGGUGUCCUCGGCUUGGGGCCCGGAGCGUUUACUUUGAAAAAAUUAGAGUGUUCAAGGCAGGGCCGGCACCGCGCCCCAUUGAAUACCCCAGCUAGGAAUAAUGGAAUAGGACCGGGGUCCUAUUUUCUGUGGGUUUCCGGAACCCGGGGCCAUGAUCGAGAGGGACGGCCGGGGGCAUUCGUAUUGCGCCGCUAGAGGUGAAAUUCUUGGACCGGCGCAAGACGGACCGGAGCGAAAGCGUUUGCCAAGAACGUUUUCAUUAAUCAAGAACGAAAGUCGGAGGUUCGAAGACGAUCAGAUACCGUCGUAGUUCCGACCGUAAACGAUGCCGACCCGCGAUCCGGCGGCGUUUAUUUCCAUGACCCGCCGGGCAGCGUUGCGGGAAACCCACGAGUCUCUGGGCCCGGGGGGGAGUAUGGUUGCAAAGNNNNNNNACCACCAGGAGUGUGGAGCCUGCGGCUUAAUUUGACCCAACACGGGGAACCUCACCCGGCCCGGACACGGAAAGGAUUGACAGAUUGACAGCUCCUUUCUCGAUUCUGGGGGUGGUGGUGCAUGGCCGUUCGUAGUUGGUGGAGUGAUUUGUCUGGUUGAAUUCCGAUAAACGAACGAGACUCUGGAUGCUAACUAGUUACGCGGCCCCGGCGCGGUCGGGCGUCUGCAACUUCUUAGAGGGCCAAGUGGCGUUCAGCCACGCGAGACUGUUUUUUUUUUUAAAGAACUGAGUUUCACAUUACUUUUUUAAAACCUUCAUUUAGUAUUUUAACCAUGUAAGUGCCUUUUGGUUUUUGGGGACGGGUGUUUACCUGGAGCUGUU